AGUUUCUGUAGUAUAGUGGUUAUCACAUCUGCUUGACAUGCAUAAGGUCCUGGGUUCAAUCCCCAGUAAAACCA